ACCCUUUUGUGGUUCAUACAUACGAUGAUUGGGUUUUCACACUCACAUGUGAGAUGUGCCUCCCUCUAACUUUGUUAUGAUGUCAGCACAUGACCCAUCUGACA